GGGUCAGUAGGUUGGUCGUGCCACCGGUACGUACUGGUCUCACUGAUUCCUCCUUCCUGAAGAACCGUAAUGCCAUUAAUUUGGUGUUGCGGGGAAACAGGACUGUUACUUUGAAAAAAUUAGAGUGUUUAAAGCAAGCUAACGCUUGAAUACAUUAGCAUGGAAUAAUUAAAUAGGACGAUCGAUCCUAUUUUGUUGGUUUCUAGGAUUGACGUAAUGAUUAAUAGGCAUAUUUGGG
rnacentral:rRNA from 1 species